rnacentral:tRNA from 1 species
UGUAGCUUGGUGGUAGAGCACUUGCCUGGUAUGCUCGAGGUCCUGGGUUUAAUCCCCAGCA